GCCUAGUUAGCUUGGAGGGUAGAGCACCUGCCUUGUAAGCGCUAGGCCGCGGGUUCGAUUCCUGCCCGGGGCA
rfam:Asian citrus Psyllid, Diaphorina citri - Florida Strain, whole genome shotgun sequence.